UCAAAGGCCAUCCGGGGCAAGGUUGUCUCCAAGAAGACUGGUGAGAUGGUCCAGAAGAAGACUGUGACAGUGAAUACACACGUCUCCACACUACUGAAGAACCUCAUUGACUUUGAAUGGGACUUCAUAUAGUGGCAACAAUAAAUCCAGUGAGAGGAACAACUAGCAAAGUGAUGAUCAUCUCUACCUGAACCACACUCUUCCUCUUUGAAUCAGGACUUUUCACUCCCACCCAGACUCUGAAGUUAAGUAAAAUAUGCACCUACCUCCAGGACUUUUUAAAGAGGUAAACAAGCCUACCUCACAGGACUAUUUUAGAGGUCAACAGGACUACCUCACAGGGCUAUUUUAGAGGUCAUAAAGCUUACCUCACAGGACUAUUUUAAAAAGGUAAACAAUACCAUACCUACAAUUGUUUCUCAAAUUUUGCUUUUGAUGUAUAUUUUUAAAAAUGUCUUUGAUGUUUCGCUUCAGAAUAGUCUAAAUACAAAUUUCAAAAUGUUCUUAAUAGUAGAGUUUGUUUUCCAAAUGUUGCUAGAGUCAAGUUCAUGUUGGUGAGUAUUUCACCUAUAAUUAAUACUGUUACAACUACAAAUUCAUAUACAUAUAAAUACAUCUUAUGUCUCCAGGUGUUUUCUCGUUUGGUACAGGGACAGUCUGACAUGCAAUUUAAGAAAAAAAUCCUAUUGAUUUGAGCGGACUAGGCACUUUUUAUUUUGUUACUCAAAUCUCUUUUGGUUUGUUUCUCUGGGUCAUCAAUGUUUUCUGCCAUUGUUUUUGACAGUUACAUGUCUGUUGACACUUCCCUUUUAAAUAAAGGUGUGUUAGAUUUA